GCCGAUUAUUGUAGGUUGAGGGUCCUUUUGAUUAGCCCUUCAAAGAUCAUUUUAGGUAAAUCUUCAUUCGUUAAAUAUGAUUCUGACUGAAAAAAUCCUUAAAAAGUUGGUUCUGAUCAAAGGAACUCUUGUAAAGCUUGUCGAACAGGAGUUUCAGCUUUUCAUGUUACUUCUAUGUGAAAACAGGAGUUGAUGAAUAUAAAAAUCCAUAUAUA
rnacentral:lncRNA from 1 species